rnacentral:rRNA from 1 species
AUUGAACGCUGGCGGCAGGCCUAACACAUGCAAGUCGAGCGGAGCGCGAGUCGGGUGAGUAAUGCCUAGGAAUCUGCCUGGUAGCGGGGGAUAACGUCCGCAAACGGGCGCUAAUACCGCUUACUAUCAGAUGAGCCUAGGUCGGAUUAGCUAGUUGGUGGGGUAAAGGCAUACCAGGGCCACGAUCCGGAUCUGGUCUGAGAGGAUGAUCAGUCACACUGGAACUGAGAAACGGUCCAGACUCCUACGGGAGGCAGCAGUGGGGAAUAUUGGACAAUGGGCGAAAGCCUGAUCCAGCCAUGCCGCGUGUGUGAAGAAGGUCUUCGGAUUGUAAAGCACUUUUAGUUGGGAAGCGGUACCAGCAGAAUAAGCACCGGCUAACUUCGUGCCAGCAGCCGCGGUAAUUC